rnacentral:rRNA from 1 species
GGAUUUGUCAGUUGGUCGAGCUUCACUGUUCGUAUUGACUUGAUGGAUUCUUACCUUCUGAAUAACCAGCAUGCUAUUGUUAGUGCGUUUGGGAAGCAGAUCUAUUACCUUGAAAAAAUUAGAGUGCUUAAAGCGUGCUAGUGCUUGAAUAGAUUAGUAUGGAAUAAUAAAAUAGGACGGCAUGGUUCUAUUUUGUUGGUUUCUAGGAUCACCUUA